rnacentral:rRNA from 1 species
UACGAAGGGGGCUAGCGUUGUUCGGAAUUACUGGGCGUAAAGCGCACGUAGGCGGUUCGAUCAGUCAGGGGUGAAAUCCCAGGGCUCAACCCUGGAACUGCCUUUGAUACUGUCGAUCUGGAGUAUGGAAGAGGUGAGUGGAAUUCCGAGUGUAGAGGUGAAAUUCGUAGAUAUUCGGAGGAACACCAGUGGCGAAGGCGGCUCACUGGUCCAUUACUGACGCUGAGGUGCGAAAGCGUGGGGAGCGAACAGG